UGUAAAAUUCAGAUGAUCUACGGUUCAUAAAAACAUUCAUUCGGAGAUGAGCAACGAAGUGAGAAGAUCUAGCUGGUGGAAUGCAUUAGUAAAUGAGAUUUAGCUGGUCGAAUACAUAAGCCCUCCCCCCCGCCUGUUGAGGAAGAAUGUGGCUGAGUGAGGGACACAGUUUGAGGAAUUUCUCAGAAGAUGUUCCUUUUCAAGAGAUAGAAUAAAAUGGUGAUGUGGUUGAGAUAUGUGGUAGAUAUUCCUGUGGAUGCUAGGAUUCUGAGAUGUCCUUCCAACUUUUGAAAUCAAGAAAUUGAUAGUUCGGUCUAUCAGUGUCGAGAAGUUCAGUCUAUGAAAUUAAAUGAACAGCAAUGAAGCCUUGUAAACAACCUUCACGACUGCAGUGCAGGAUCAUAAUCAUAUCAAUGAGAAGUUACCGCUGAUUAUUUAUUACUACAUGUUGGUAGCGGACAGUUUAUACUGUUAAUGCGACUUCGAACUUAUUUUAGAGUUUGGUUUCAGCAACAUUUCUUACUUUAAAAAUCAAUGUCUUUAUUCGUUGGCUUAAACGUUUUUAAUACCUUCAAUGCGAAAUUCAAUGAUGUUAUUUGUUUUUAUUGCAUUCUAAUUCGAUUAAAA